rnacentral:tRNA from 1 species
CCGUCGUCCAGUUCGGCGGAGACGGCCGUGCCCGGGGUGUGGUCCAGCGCGGCGGCGAUGGCCUCCGCGGCGGUCACCUUGCCGGCGGCGGG